UUUAGACUUCGGUCUAGCAACUUGGCGAUUCCACACUUCCAAGAAAAGCCGCGUACUGAGCUUCUUCCGUAACCGUACUACAAACCGACUCAGGUGGGCGGGAAGAAUAUUCCGAGGCGCGUGAGAGAACCCUGGUUAAGGAACUCUGCAAACUGACACCGUAACUUCGGGAGAAGGUGUGCCUUUUGACGUGAGCUGGUUCGCCCAGCAGAGCGUCGGGAGGUCGCAGAGAAUCGGGGGUUGUGACUGUUUACUAAAAACCUAGCACUCUGCUAAGUCGAAAGACGACGUAUAGGGUGUGAUGCCUGCCCGGUGCUGGAAGGUUAAGGGGAAUUGUCAGCGCAAGCGAAGCAGUGAACCGAAGCCCCAGUAAACGGCGGCCGGAACUAUAACGGUCCUAAGGUAGCGAAAUUCCUUGUCGGGUAAGUACCGACCUGCACGAAUGGCAUAACAACAUCCCCGCUGUCUCGACCAGGGACUCAGCGAAAUUGUAUUGGGGGUGAAGAUACCCUCUACCUGCGGCAAGACGGAAAGACCCCAUGAACCUUUACUGCAACUUGGCAGUGAGUUUCGGGACAUUCUGCGUAGGAUAAGUGGGAGGCUUUGAAGUCGGGCUUCUGGGUUCGAUGGAGCCAACGUUGAAAUACCACUCUGGAUGUUCUGGGAUUCUAACCUGCGUCCGUGAUCCGGACGAGGGACACUGCCUGGCGGGCAGUUUGACUGGGGCGGUCGCCUCCUAAAAUGUAACGGAGGCGUGCGAAGGUUCCCUCAGCCUGAUUGGAAACCAGGCGUAGAGUGCAAACGCACAAGGGAGCUUAACUGCGAGACCGACAGGUCGAGCAGGUGCGAAAGCAGGCGUUAGUGAUCCGGUGGUUCCGAAUGGAAGGGCCAUCGCUUAUCGGAUAAAAGGUACUCUGGGGAUAACAGGCUGAUCGCGCCUGAGAGUUCACAUCGGCGGCGCGGUUUGGCACCUCGAUGUCGGCCCAUCGCAUCCUGGGGCUGGAGCAGGUCCCAAGGGUUCGGCUGUUCGCCGAUUAAAGCGGUACGCGAGCUGGGUUUAAAACGUCGUGAGACAGUUUGGUCCCUAUCUGCCGUGGGCGAAGGAUACUUGAGAGGAGCUGACCAUAGUACGAGAGGACCUGGUUGGACGUACCCCUAGUGAUCCAGUUGUCACGCCUGUGGCACAGCUGGGUAGCUAUGUACGGAACGGAUAACCGCUGAAAGCAUCUAAGCGGGAAGCCGGCCUCAAGACAAGGUGUCCCAAGCGCAAGCUUCUAAAGACCCCUCGUAGACUACGAGGUUGAUAGGCCGGGUGUGGAUUUGGAGCAAUCCAAGGAGCUAACCGGUACUAAUAGGUCGUGCGGCUUUAUC
rnacentral:rRNA from 1 species